AUGUACGUACGUGCGGUCGGCGGAGCGCGGAUCGAUCAGCAGGCGGCGGAGUGGGUGAAGGGGUUGAAGAAGUGGUGGGUGGCGGCCUUGGGCCUGUCGGGGUCGACCUUGCCGGUGGCGGCGGCGGCGGACGGCGUCCCGGGGUGUUGGCUGGCGUUGUUGGGCGGCGGCGGCGGCGGGGCGAACUUGAUGGCGCGGAGCUCCUGCAGCUCCCGCUGCAGCCGGCGGUUCUCCUCGGUGAGCGUCUCGCAGCAGCGCUUCAGGAACUCGCAGUCCACCUCCGUCUGCUUCAGCUUCGUCCUGCAUGCACGUGUAACACGGGAUCCAACGUUACUUAUCAAAGAAAGUUCACCACCAGGACCGAAAUGA
rnacentral:rRNA from 1 species